rnacentral:lncRNA from 8 species
UUUUGUUUCCAUUUCCAGGUGCUUGAGGAAGGGACAAUGCAAUGAACUCAUAUAAAUGCCUUAGAGGAGAGUAGGCAGGUCUGCAUGGAGAGCAGAGGUUGAUCCAUGUGCAUGUAUCCAACCUGAGGUCCUCUCCUGCACUGCUGCCUUACUCGGAUUCUGGACCACUUCAACCAUCUCUCCCGUCACAGGUUUCUCCAGGUGUGCAGUCUUGCCGCAGCCACGCCAUCCCACCACUAUUCCAUCCCAGCGGCUCACGUGGAGAACAUCUCGCCACCUGCUAAUAGGGCUCCAGCCCCGGUGAGGCCCUCGACUCCUCCACCCUCAACAGCAAUGGCUCUGGUUGCAGCUGAGACACAGGGGAGUCCUCCUCACUCUCCUCUGGUAACUCCAGACCACUAUGAAAGGAUCAAGCUGGCAUAGCUCAGGAACCGGGAGCAACUCAGUACUGCACGCUCUUACCAAGAUGCCUCUUGAGGAUAGAAGUUGAGGACUUUUAGUACGCUACAUAAUAUUGAUAAAUAUAAAAUAUAAAGAAGAUGAUAAGAUAGAUGAUAUCAUUUUAAUAAAAAGUAAUUCAUUUGCAACUACUGGUUAUUCAUUACAGUAUGAACUGUAAAAUGAUUGGGACAAACACAACACAGCUCACCUAAUGGUAGUUUUUACAAACAGUACAGCACCAGCCUCACCCAAGAGGUCUACAACCUUAUCAUAUUAUCAAUAAUAUUGGAAUAUUUACUAAUCAUUGUAGAACAAUGUGGAUUUGUUAUUUGGGGAAUACCAAAAUAACUGGGGAAUACCAAAAUAAACCGAAGGCAGACCCAGGUAAAACCAGGGUCAUAUUCAUUAGGGUCGACCAUAGACAAAUAUUUUGCUAAGGAAAACAAGAGUUUGUUAUUGGAGAAGUUCACAUUCCCUCCCUGUUUCAGUAUGUUUUCUUAUGUUUGGUGCAUAAUGAACACUACCCAGGGUUAUUAGUCUGGGCCAGAUGUAUCAAGGGUCCUAGAGCAGCACUCCUACUCUGAGACCCUUGAUACAUACAGCCUCUGGUGUAUUUGGAGUUAAAAAUGUCACUGUUCCUGAUCAUUCACAAGGGGGCAGCCUCCACUACGAAUAGAAAGUGACUGUCUGUAUGUGAGAUAUGGGCUGCAUUGCCAUAGUCUAAAGUGCCUUCAUCUGUUAAUCUCAUGUACACUGAAUCUGAUGUGAAAAAACUGGACAAGUGGAAGCAAAUGCCUAGUAGAACUCUACUGUAAUGAUUUUACCUAGUCUGUUUUCACAUCAGGGCAGAUGGAGGAGAUGAGGAACGAGGAAGGGAGCCAUUUUGGAAAAUGGCCGAUAGGGAGCAAUCUAUUAUGACUUCUGUCUGACAAAGAUUAGUUCUCGUAUAUUUGGCUUCAAAACUUUCCAAGUUUCAAUUAGUUUAUGGUCUUCCAGUAUUAUCUGUACAUGUACAUUUUUUACAUUUUGUGUUUGAAAAUUAAGAAAUUCCAAUCAAUAUUUUGGUCAAUAGACCCUUCAUUCAUUUAAAGCCUGAAGAAGAUCUGCGGUGUGUUCAUUACGCCGAUUCAGUUGCAAAAUGUUUCUUAAAUGGAAGCAAACAGAACAAAACGGGGAGGGACCUACCUGAAUUUGUCCUAUAGAAACUUUCGUUUUCAUUGCAAACGCAACUUUUUGGACUAAUGAUUACACCCCUGUUGACUGAAAUGUUGCUUGGCGUUUACUUCUUUUCAAAUGUAAAAUGUGCAAAACAUUAUGUAAAUGAUGAAAAAGCCGCAAUGAUUAUAACUGUAAACUUUUGAGAGCAAAUACAUCAGAACUACCCUUUUGUGUUCUUCUGAGAUUACUUGAGCUUUUUUGACGACUAUGCCAGAUUACAAGUGUGCUUGAGUUUCUUUCUUUUCAAACAGAUGUUUUUCUUCAUUCACCUGGAAAUGCACUAGCAGUGCACACUACAGUUUUUUAAAGUACAUUUUCUAUUAGUCAUGGAUGAUGGUCACUGCAUCUAUAUCAACAACGUCUUAGUCAAAACACCAUCAACGUCACAACCCUGGAUGGUCAUGAAAUUGUGGACUGACCAAAGAGAUGGGAUAUAAUGUUUCACUCACCGUUCUAUAUUUUACAGCCAUAUAUUUUCUCUGUCAUGAAUAUUUUACUCCAAUUACAGAAUAGUGAGAAAAUAAUAGAAUGGAUUGUUGUGGGAGAUGCAUGCCAGAUCAGAAGAUCUAAAUGAGAAAUAGCCCAAAAUGUAUUAGGAAAUACCAAGAAUUUUGCAUUUGAACCUAUCUAUUUCCAAUGUACAGUACCAGU